rnacentral:rRNA from 1 species
AUGUUCCCCUUCAUAUUCUCCCCAAGCAUCGUUUUAGUGCUUGAUGGCCUACGGGCGGUGAUUGUCAGCGACCACAUCACCAGAACUCGAACCUCAUCGCUCUCUUCGCCUCCAAGUAGUUCCCCGAGGCGCCGCCGCCCGCAUCAUGCCCUGAUCCACCUCCCCAAGGAUCUCCUCUCAGAACCCACCCCGCUCAUCUUCACAGACACCUCCUUCGUACCUGGGUGCAUGAUAGAGCUGAUUACAGGGUGCCCGGCCGCGGCGGCGGACGCAGUCGUGCUGACGUAUGCGUGCGACAGGGCUAGGACGCGGGAACAGAUUAGCUCUUCUGGCUUUCCCAAGCUCCGUGCCAAGGACUUCGCCUGUGAGCAGGUAGCUACCGUCUUGAUCCACCCAAUUAACCUCACCGUGUCAUUUGGUUUCACUUCCUGCAUGUUAUUGUAUGCUAGCAAUUCUCAUAAAUCAUCACUGCCAACCCUCAUCGACUGCUGGGAGGUGCUGGCACGAGUGCGCAUACCCAUGUGUCGCUGGCUCCCUUCCAUGGGAGACGAUGGUGGCAAAUCGGGUGGCGGGGACGACGACUAUUUGGGAAAUGGAGUAGUGGCGUGGAUGAGUCAGAGUUUUGGGGAUGAUGGACGACGAAGAUUUAUAGCGGUGGGGGGUGAUGGGCGACGAAGAUUUAUAGCAGUGGGAAGGGUCAAUCAGGAGCCUCACGGUGGUUGCACCGUUCUUCACAGUGAGAGGAUCACGUACACUGCUUUAGAUCUAUCAUCCAAGAAUACAAAAUCUGUUCCCGUAGGGCAGGGCGGGAAUUCGGCAGCCCCCGCCGCCAAGGCCUGCGCUCCCGGCGCCAACGCUGCUGCGCGAUCUCGGCCGGCGGCGGAGAAGGUGACCAAGGCCGCGGGCGGAAAGAGGAAGAGGAAUCCGGCUACAAACAAGGCGCUUCCUUCAUCCUCGAACUCCAUCCCGGCAAGAAGUGCCCUGCCGAUGCCGUCCAACGACGCUGCUCCCCCUGCAAGCGAGGUGUUCGACGAAAUGGCCGGAAGCGGUGGUUCAAACAAUGGAACUGCCGAGUUCGUGACCUUGUUGGACACCAAUGUCGUUGACAUUGAUCAAGCCCCGUUCGCAUUCGAGUACAAUGAAACGGAGGGUGGCGUGGAUGAUCAUGGUUGUGAGGAUGAAUUGGCCGAGAUCGAAGCGGAAGCAUUUGAGCAAUCACAAUCAAAAUCUGGGAAAACCCAAAGAUCGAAGAACUACACGAUCUUGAAAGAUCAAGCUUUGAUCCAAAAGCAUGGAGUGCGGUGUCUCUUGAUGCAUGCACGGGACUCCUCACACAUUUCGGUCGCUUCAAGGCCGUUGGGAGAACAUCAAGCCUAUGUGCAGCCGUUGGGCUGCUUGCUUGGAGCAAAAUUGGGCGUUUUCUGUUUCCGGGUCAUCGCGGUGGUGCCCGAGCAAAACCCGCAAAAGCCGACCCGUAAAAAGGCAUAUUCUAGAAUAUACUUUUAUGCCGGUCCUUUUGAGGGGUCUGCGUCUGUGGCCAUCUGCGCUGGCCCACAAAAGCGGUUUUGCGCGAACUGCAAACGCGUUUUGCGGGCCGGCGAGAUGCGGGAUCUGCUAGAGUUGCUCUUAGGCCUUGCUACUGCUCUUAGAGUUAACAACACUGAAAUGGCAAGCCGCGCAUGGCGUUCUAGCAUUACCGCUCAAGUCAACACUGGACCCGAGCUGAUUCACGAGGAGCGUUUUUGUUACUGA